AAUAGAUACCCGGGUAGUCCACGCCGUAAACGAUCGAGUGCUAAGUGUUAGAGGGUUUCCGCCCUUUAGUGCUGCAGCUAACGCAUUAAGCACUCCGCCUGGGGAGUACGGUCGCAAGACUGAAACUCAAAGGAAUUGACGGGGGCCCGCACAAGCGGUGGAGCAUGUGGUUUAAUUCGAAGCAACGCGAAGAACCUUACCAGGUCUUGACAUCCUCUGACAACUCUAGAGAUAGAGCGUUCCCCUUCGGGGGACAGAGUGACAGGUGGUGCAUGGUUGUCGUCAGCUCGUGUCGUGAGAUGUUGGGUUAAGUCCCGCAACGAGCGCAACCCUUGAUCUUAGUUGCCAGCAUUUAGUUGGGCACUCUAAGGUGACUGCCGGUGACAAACCGGAGGAAGGUGGGGAUGACGUCAAAUCAUCAUGCCCCUUAUGACCUGGGCUACACACGUGCUACAAUGGAUGGUACAAAGGGCUGCAAGACCGCGAGGUCAAGCCAAUCCCAUAAAACCAUUCUCAGUUCGGA
rnacentral:rRNA from 1 species